GGAAUUACUCCCAACCACUAGCCAGAGAGGAGGCAGACACUAUGAAUUGGCGCCAAAAACAAAUCCGCAGUAACCAAAGGAGGACAUCAACACCUGUGAAACGGACAUCAGUAACCCCAAGGAAUCGCACCCCACAAUUUAGGCAAGGAGAGGCAGAAGUCUUUAGUU